rnacentral:lncRNA from 1 species
GACGACAGUAAUGAAGAAGAGAAGGGCAAUGAAAGAAGUGGAAGGUAAUGAAGAAUAGCAAGCUGGAAGAGUGUAUGAAGCAGGUAGUUGUUACCUUCCCAUUGAUUAGUUGUUGAUUAUGACUUUUCUUGUUGCAGCUGCUUCCCAACAAAUCAGACAGGGGAAACUCGCUGAUUACUUUGCUAUUCAAGGUAUAUUUUGUGGUUAUGUUUUACCUGAAAUUUUCUUUGGAUUUAUGCUUUACUAAUUUUCUUAAUCUUAUGAUUGGUGAAGGUGAUGAAGUUGGAGGCCUGAAGCCACUGCAUCCUUUUUGGAAUUUGUAAACUGCAAGUUUGAACUUGUUUUUGUUUUGCUUAGACUGUAGUUUGAACUUCACCUAUAUGUUCAGUUAAUUGUAUGACUUCGUUAAGCUGGGACUUAGUUAUAUUACCCCAAAAAUAUGACAAAAGAAAAAUGGGGACUUUGCUAUGGAUGUUUGAAGUUUCGUUAAUGAAG